rnacentral:rRNA from 1 species
UACGUAGGGUGCGAGCGUUAAUCGGAAUUACUGGGCGUAAAGCGUGCGCAGGCGGCUUCUCAAGUCAGGGGUGAAAGCCCAGAGCUCAACUCUGGAAUUGCCUUUGAGACUGAGUGGCUUGAGUACGAGAGAGGUGAGUGGAAUUCCCAGUGUAGAGGUGAAAUUCGUAGAUAUUGGGAAGAACACCAGUGGCGAAGGCGGCUCACUGGCUCGUAACUGACGCUCAUGCACGACAGCGUGGGGAUCAAACAGG